CUGAGAGCUACACCAUCAUUGUGCCAUCCAGUUCCAUAGGUGACUAACAGCCGCUCAUAAUUAGGACACAUCAACACAUUCUCCUCCAGUCACCUUCAUUAUGAGAUAAACCCAACAUUAGCUGAUGGACUUGGAUUCUGUUGGUUUUCCUAUUAGAGUCAAUACCAUUUGUGCCCAGCUUAGUCUACCGUGAUAUCCUCUUCUCUGGUGUCAAAAGAAAUCAGGCAAUAUAAACACUUUAUAAGAAAAAUUACACAGAUUGCAUCCAUAGGGAAAGUUUCUUAAAAGACACGCAAUAGUGAUUUUCAGGCUCUUGUGUUAGCCUUUCCCAAGCUACGGGUCCUUUUUCAAUGGUGCCCUG